rnacentral:antisense_RNA from 18 species
AAAUUGGUGUAUCCUUACCCUAGUAGGAACAAAA